UACAGAGGGUGCUAGCGUUGUUCGGAAUCAUUGGGCGUAAAGGGCGUGUAGGCGGUUUGUUAAGUCAUGUGUGAAAUCCCUCGGCUCAACCGGGGAACGACGCAUGAAACUGGCAAGCUAGAGUACCAAAGAGGGGGGUGGAAUUCCCGGUGCAGCGGUGAAAUGCGUAGAUAUCGGGAGGAACACCUGUGGCGAAGGCGGCCCCCUGGUUGGAUACUGACGCUGAUACGCGAAAGCGUGGGGAGCAAACAGG
rnacentral:rRNA from 1 species